rnacentral:rRNA from 1 species
GAUUCCCUUAGUAACUGCGAGUGAAGCGGGAAAAGCUCAAAUUUAAAAUCUGGCGGUCUUUGGCCGUCCGAGUUGUAAUCUAGAGAAGUGUUGCCUGCAUUGGACCGUGUACAAGUCUUCUGGAAUGAAGCGUCAUAGAGGGUGAGAAUCCCGUCUUUGACAUGGACUCCCAAUGUAUUGUGGCAUGCUCUCAAAGAGUCGAGUUGUUUGGGAAUGCAGCUCUAAAUGGGUGGUAACCUCCAUCUAAAGCUAAAUAUUGGCAAGAGACCGAUAGCGAACAAGUACCGUGAGGGAAAGAUGAAAAGAACUUUGGAAAGAGAGUUAAACAGUACGUGAAAUUGUUGAAAGGGAAACGCUUGAAGUCAGUCGCAUCGGCCAGGGAUCAGCUUAGCUCUUUUGCUUAGUGUACUUCCUGGUUGAUGGGCCAACGUCAGUUUUGACUGCCAGAGAAGGGCAGAGGGAAUGUGGCACCUCUGGGUGUGUUAUAGCCUUCUGUCAUAUAUGUCAGUUGGGACUGAGGAAUGCAGCACGCCGCAAGGCCAGGUCAUUUUGACCAUGUUCGUGCUUUGGAUGUUGGCAUAAUGGCUUUAAUCGACCCGUCUUGAAACACGGACCAAGGAGUCUAACAUGCCUGCGAGUGUUUGGGUGGAAAACCCGGACGCAUAAUGAAAGUGAAAGUUGAGAUCCCUGUCGUAGGGAGCAUCGACGCCCGGACCUGAGCUUUUAGCAAUGGAUCUGCGGUAGAGCAUGUAUGUUGGGACCCGAAAGAUGGUGAACUAUGCCUGAAUAGGGCGAAGCCAGAGGAAACUCUGGUGGAGGCUCGUAGCGAUUCUGACGUGCAAAUCGAUCGUCGAAUUUGGGUAUAGGGGC